CCCCUAUAAAAAGUCAUAACGUUACAUUUAAGGCAGUUUAAAUUUAAAAGGGUACUCACACCAUCCAAGAAAACAAUCAAUAUCCGACUCAUACAUUAGUACACGAGAAUGUGUUAUGAUUGAGGAAAGAUCGUUAAUAAACAAAGUAAACAGCAAAGGGCCCAAAUGACUACCCUGAGGCACUCCAGAUGUCACGUAGAUCAAUUUUGAAACAGCAUUCUUGAAUAUAACCCUCUGAGUCCUACCAUUCAAGUAACAUGAAAUCCAAGAUAAUAGAUUACCAGGAAACCCAAGCUGAUCUAAUUUAAAUAAAAGAAAAGGUUGGUGGUGGUCGAUCUUCGCCUAACAAAACCAUGCUGACACGGUGAUAGAAGCGAGGAACAUAAAUGUGGCAAAUGAGAAGAGAUAAUACGUUCAAAUGCUUUAGGAUUUGCCGACAAUUUAGAAAUAUCUGUAUAAUUUUUAGCAUCUGCCU